AGUGAACGCUGGCGGUAGGCCUAACACAUGCAAGUCGAACGGCAGCACAGUAAGAGCUUGCUCUUACGGGUGGCGAGUGGCGGACGGGUGAGGAAUACAUCGGAAUCUACUUUUUCGUGGGGGAUAACGUAGGGAAACUUACGCUAAUACCGCAUACGACCUACGGGUGAAAGCAGGGGAUCUUCGGACCUUGCGCGAUUGAAUGAGCCGAUGUCGGAUUAGCUAGUUGGCGAGGUAAAGGCCCACCAAGGCGACGAUCCGUAGCUGGUCUGAGAGGAUGAUCGGCCACACUGGAACUGAGACACGGUCCAGACUCCUACGGGAGGCAGCAGUAGGGAAUAUUGCGCAAUGGGCGAAAGCCUGACGCAGCCAUACCGCGUGAGUGAUGAAGGCCUUCGGAUUGUAAAGCUCUUUUGUUAGGAAAGAAAAGCAGCGGAAGUAAACAUGGCUGUUCUGACGGUACCUAAAGAGUAAGCACCGGCUAACUACGUG
rnacentral:rRNA from 1 species